rnacentral:lncRNA from 1 species
AAAAACCUGACAUUAGCUCUCCUUUGAAGACAUUAAAGAAAAGCAAAAACAAAACAAAACAAAAACAAACGAACAAACAAGAAAACAAAACCAAACAAUUUCAUAAUGAAGUGAAAAGAUCACUGGAUUGGAAUUCAGGAGUCUAGUAAGGCCACUUACUGGCUGUGAGACUUAGUCAGGUCACUUACCUCUGGUCCUCAGUCUCACUUUGAUUUUCAGUAGUUAUUGAUUACUACUGAAAAUCAAAGUGAGAAAAUUACUACUAUUGAUUCAGUAGUUAUUGAUUAAUAUCUCUUCCAGCACCACAUUACAUAGCAUGUAUAUGUGUGUGUGUGUGUGUGUGUGUGUGUGUGUGAGAGAGAGAGAGAGAGAGUGAAGAGAGAGAGAAGAGAGGCAGGCUAUCAAAUAGAAUAGCUUUUGGGGGGAAAUUUGUAUAAGGCAAGACAGAAACAUACAUUAUUGGGGACUGAGGAAAGCCUUUCACUUUAAUUUCCAUUUCAAUCAUUGAAGCUCAUAGUGACCAUGCCCAGUGAAAAAGCCAUGCCAUUUUCUUCUUCUGGGAACUGAGAUAGAUCCCUCAGAAGUAUCACAAUCAAUAUAUACAUAUGUACCUAUGAUCUCCAUUCAGUUGCUAGAACGGCUGUGUGCCUUCCAUCGAAGCCUCUCUUCUGGCUUCUGAGGUGGGGGGCAACUUCAACAAAUCAGGUUCCAAUGGGGAGAGAGAGGGAGCUCUUCCUUUGCUCCUGGGGCACUGGAAGCAUGUGGUAGAGGUGAGGAGGGAGGAAUCAUGGUGGGGGCAGGAGGUGGUGUUCCAGGGACAUGGGAGGAAACUGCAGUAUUGCACUCCUACUUGAUGGGCUUGGCCAUUCAUCAGCCAUCACCAGCUGUCAACAUGAACUGAGAACCUCCUGUGUGCAGGCUAGGCACUGGGGAUGCCUCUGGAACCCCACGCAGUCUUUGCUGUCAAGGAGCUCACUGUCUCAUCAAAAGAGAAUAGAUAGAGUCUGUUUUCCCUUUAGCCUGAACAAGCACAUUUAGGCCCUAAGGGCUCAGAGGGCUCUCCUUCCCAAUCUUCCUACCCCCUUGCCCAAGGUUUGGCUAGACACAGUCAGUAAUAAAAAGGAUGCUUUUCAGACCAAUGGAUGCAGCUUUGCAUGUGCUUUGCCCAGUAUGCAGAUGGCUGCCAGGCCGCCCUAUUGAGGAUUCUGUUUGCGGGAAUGUGCUCUGUUUCCUUAACUGUAGGCUUUGGGGACCAGAAGUGGCCAGGGGCUUAAAGGCAGCUGAAGUGAAGCAGCUCUUCUGCACACUCAUCAGCAUCAGGCUUCAAGCUGCAGUGAGGCAUGGACCUGAGAUAACUGCAGUGCCCCAGGUGGGAUGCUGCAGUGUCCUUGGGAAUACCCGUGGCUGCUGCAGGACACACUGAGCACAGUGGGCCACGGUUGGGUCUGAGCUGCCAGCUGCAGGGUGAGCUGCUGACUCACUGCUGCAGCCAUGAGACCUUUAGCCACUGGAACAGCACGGGGAAUUCUUUCUUACUUUAAAGGAGUAUGUGAUGGAGAGGAGGUCAAUGGGAUGAUAAGUCAAAGUGUGAGCCUAAAAAGCAGCUAUAAAAAUUUUCAUAGAAUUCUUGGGCAGAAAUGUUUUUAUCAGCCUUGGAAGAAUGCAGUCAUAUUGGGGAAGUUAUUCAGUCAGUUGGUCAGCAUGUAUUAAACACCCAUCGUGUGCCUAGCGUUUAUUGUGUGCUUAGAUUAUAAGGGGUAAAUGAGGAGUAGAAGAUGUUCCUUGCCCCACUUGGGGAUUAUGAUAAGACUGGCACUUAGAGAGCCUUAUUCUGUGCCAGACACAGCAUUUGACGUGCGCUAGUUUAUGUAAUCUCACAGUAACACCAUAAAAAUUAUAGGUAUUUUAAUUUAUUCUACUGUAAGUUGAGAAGUUAGGAUUUGAACCAUGUCAGUUCAAAGUCAGAGCUCUUUACCACCAUGCAAUUAUGUUGUUCGAGAAGUGCACACAACUGGAGAACAAUACAGGGGGAUUCAUGGUUAAGUGCUAAAUCAUAUUUAUAAUACAAGCAUUUAUGAUGAGUCCAGAAUAAAUCCCUAUCAAUCUGCAACCCUGGGUCAGCUGAAGUGUGUAGAUUUGCUUAUGUUUAAGCAAAUAUUGAGCCUGCAGAGCGAGUUUUUGAGAAGGUGGAGGGUCAGAAUGAGCACUCGUAAGGUCAGGGAGUGGCAGCUGUGGGUACCAUCAAAGGGAUAGCAUCAGGUGACCUGCUGUGAGUCUCAGGCCACUGCGUGCCCAGAAUGGUCCUAAUUGUUGGGGAAAACACAGAAAGAUAAUUACACAUAUUUUUGCCCUUUGAGAAUUCAGUCUGGUUGGAUUUACCUGAUCAAUUAAUCAACUUAGGAACUAUUAGCAAAAUAAGAGGAGAAUGAGGUUCAUAAGGAGUUGAAGAGGGCCCAUGACCAUCCCAUUCAGUCUUUAGUGGGUCAAUAUUUGUGUUAGCAAGGAGACCAUGAGCCUUUUAACAGAUGAUACUGACAAAGACUCAAAAGCUCUUAAAUGUUCCUGUGGAGAUACUGACUAUACAUCUGUGGCAGAGCUGACCAGAGCUACCUAAGCCCUCUGGUUUCAAGGAUGAGAGAUAAUCCUGGGCAGCUGUCAGAGAAAAAUCUCUCAUGAAACUGAUGAAAUGCCUUUGUCUUUUGGCUGGUAGAGCUGAUUUUUCCCGGGACACAAAUGUGCCAACUCUCUGACCCAAAGCCCAGUGUCUCAUACACUUCUCGGGCACUCAUUUGGGCUCAUGGAUUUAGGUUACAGUAUCUCCUUGUCUCUCUUUCUCUAGUAUUUAGCUAAGGUAGUGACUGAUACUAUUGACCUGAUCCUACUUCUGCUUUGCCCAUAGUUAUUAAUUUUUUUUGAUCCCUUUCAGGGACUCUAUAGACUUUAGCUGGCUGGCUGAGUUCUGAUGGGGGUUUUAGAAGCUUAAACAUUGUGAGGAAGAUGAAGAAAUGAAUAAGAUCAGGUAAAGAUACCUUCCUGGACAAUAUCCUUUGGCGGAAUGCCAGAAAAGUAACAGAUGAGUUCAGGAAGACUUCAAGGGCAGCAUCUGAGACCCAGACCAAAUCAGGGUCCCGGAAACCAUGGAGAAAGCAAUUUCCGUGACAGCCAAGCAGAAGGAAACUUAUCAGCUCAUACCUGAAAGAAGUUGCUCUGGCACUGUUUUAUGGGAAUGGAAUUAUUAAGAAGGUGGGGGUGGGUGGUUAUGGGCAAUGAAGAAUAGAUCAAGCAAAAAAAUUUGAGUUGAGGCAGGGAUAACCAGAGAAGACUGAUAACCAUGUUGACUAGUCCCAAGCUAAAGAGAAUGCUGAGGCUUAAAUUACAAUGAUCAAGUUAUGUUUCUUCUAUUGAAAGGUCUCUAUUCAGAGAAAAUAAAGUUGUUUUUGAACUGGGAGUACCUGGCUGUACCUGUUCUGUACUGAAAGAGACCGAGCGAAGUGGAUUAACACAGAAGAAUAAAGGGGAGAAGCCAGGGCCCAAUAACCUGUUAUUUCAAAGUAAAACCACCGCCUUUGCGUGGUGGUGAUGUAGGAUUCUUUCUGUGUGGUUAGACUCACUGAGCAGCUUUCUCUUUGGGGCUCUCCUAGGCCUAUUUCCUGGUGCAACCAGUGACUGAGUGAGACCCAUAUUCCGUGGUAGCUAAGAAAUGGCUCUGGGCAUGGGCUGGAAAUAGAGAUACUUAGAAAAUUGUUAAUUUCUCAGCUGGGGGUGGUGGCACAUGCCUGUGAUCCUAGCAUUUUGGGAGACUGAGGUGGGCAGAUUGCUUGAGGUCAGGAGCUCCAGCCAGCCUGGCCAACAUGGUGAAACCCCAUCUCUACUGAAAAUACAGAAAUUAGCCAAGUGUGGUGGUGCAUGUCUGUAAUCCCAGCUACAUGGGAGGCUGAGGCAGGAGAAUUGCUUGAACCCAGGAGGCGGAGGUUGCACUGAGCUGAGAUCGCACCACUGCAUUCCAGCCUGGGCGACAGAGUGAGAGUCUGUCUCAAAAAAAAAAAAAAAAAAAAAAAAAAAAAAGAAAGAACGAAAAAGAAAAUUGUUAAUUUCUUCAAUGCAGGGUUGUGUCUCACUCAUCUCUUUAUCCUCGGCACCUAAGAAAGUUCCCAACACAUCAUAGUAAGCCAGUUAUAUAUGUUUAUUGAGCCAUUUUAAAUGAUUUGUGCUUUGGGAUUGGCUAUGUGGAAGAUAAAAGAUCUAAAAGACAGUGUCCUGUUUCUGUUGCCUCAGAAGUAUUUCUCAGAUAAUAAAAUAUUGGCAGAUUUCUGAUGAUUCUCAAGAAAACUGGGAAAUAGAGCUGAAAAACAUGGAGGAUAAUAAGUUAUCCCAGGAAUAGAAGAAAAGAAAGUCCCUUCAAGAGAACUUAUUGAGGUUUUGGUUUCUCCAAGGAUAGUGUGGUAUAAGGAGGCAAAUUGUUGGAGCAAUGUUUGCAGGAAAUGUUUUCUCAACAUAUGAGGUGUUUGUCAGGUGGAUGAGGACAGUGUGUGCAGGACGGAUGUGGUACAAAAAAGCCCAGCCAGUGAACUUCCUGGGGUGGCUGUUGGUGGGUUGGUUGGGAGUUGGUGUAGCUGGGGCACAGGUGAAAGGUGGAGAUGAGACUAAAAGGGCUACAGCUGUGGGUAGUAUGAUUCCAUUUUCCUUCUAGAAAGAUGACCCUGGUGGGGUGGCUCACGCCUGUAAUCCCAGCACUUUGAGAGGCUGAGGCAGGCGGAUCAGGAGGUCAAGAGAACUAGACCAUCCUGGCCAACAUGGUGAAACCCCGUCUCUACUAAAAAUAGAAAAAUUAGCUAGGCGUGGUGGCAUGCGCCUGUAGUCCCAGCUACUUAGGAGGCUGAGGCAGGAGAAUCACUUGAACCCAGGAGGUGGAGGUUGCAAUGAGCCUAGAUAGUGCCAUUGCACUCCAGCUGGGGUGACAGAGUGAGACUCCGUCUCAAAAAAAAGAAAAUACCAGAAGGAGGCCAGGCGUGGUGGCUCACAUGGCUCACAUCGGUAGGCAGAGGUUGCAGUGAGCCGAGAUCGCACCACUGCACUCCAGCCUGGGCGACAGAGCGAGACUCCAUCUCCAAACAAACAAACAAACAAACAAAAAAACAAAAAAAAAAAAAAGAAGAAAGAAAGACAACCCUGGGCAUAGUGUAGAAGGAGAGGGGAAAGGAAUGAUGGGGAGGCAGCAGGUCCAGGUAGGAUUCAACUGCAAUAACCUGAGUGAUAGCUGAUAAGAACCUGAGCUGGCACAGUGUCAGCCGGCGGGAGAGGAGUCAAACUGGGAAAUGAGAGGAGUUGCACCAGACUGAGCUUAUCAGUUGUCUGGGGUUGGGGAUGACAGAGCAGAAAGAGUCUGGGAAGGUGAACGUUCAGGGUUUGAGGUCCUGCUGCAAGGGACAACAUUCUUUGAAAUGUUUUUAUCUUAAACAUUCAUGCAAAUUUCUAUUUUUUACUUAAAAAUGUACCAAUGUUUGCAUUUCUAUGAAAAUAAUAUGUAAAACAAGUUUACAGACCGAACUUUCCUUUCCAAAGCUUCAGAGAAAAUGGACAUGUAAGAAAACUGCACCAUGGUCGUGUGUGGUUUCUGAUGCUCCCAGCAAAUACCCCUUUUGAAAAGAGUGGAAGUCUUCCAUGAUCUGGCAACAUCUCCCCUUGUAACCUUCGUUUUGGCCAAACUGAUCUAUUUACGGUUCCCUUAGCCUUCUCAUGAAUAUUCUACUUCUCUGGUUUUGUAUGUUUCAGAUUUUCUGGUGCUUCUCCAGGCCAUCUUCCAGGGCCAACUGAGAUACUGCAUCCUCCCUCCAGCCUUCCAGAACUAUGAACCCCUUCUAGCUCCUUUCUCUGAAAUUCAGCAGACUUUUUCUGCGCUGCUUUUAUAAUUUAACGGUAGAUAAAAUCAUAUGUAAAAAGAGCUAAAAAAAGUAUUGUGACUAUUAUUAUUAUAGUGCUUCAAGGUUGUAUGUUUUGUUUUUUUUCAAGCAGAUUUUAAGUCCUAGAAGUCAGGGACUAUGUCACUGAUGUCUUUGUUGCUGCACUCAGCUCAACAUAUACUUUUUGGAUAGAUGCAGUCAUUCUGUAUAUAGAAAACAAACUUAUAUUCAAGUAGAGGGAACAGAUGGUAACUUUUUUCCCCCAGAAUAUAUUUGUGACUUUAAGUUGAAUGUUUAUUCCCAUUAAAUGAACUAUUUUAUUUCCUCUGUAAAGCAAAUUUAAAUAUCAGAAAAUCAGGAUAUCUCCUCUCUUUAUGUUUUCUCCUUUGAUGUGACAAGUAAAAGGUAGGGCUUGGGUCACCUUAGGUGGCUGUGAUUCUGAUAUUGUGCAAGUGCAAGCACUUUUUCUGUCAAGCCUGCCUGAGCCCAGUUCUUAGCUUUUAGGCAGACAUUUCCCUGCUUGCAAAAUCAAAAGCUAAGAGAAGUAUGAUGGGAAAUUGCUUUCUAAAGACACCCAUGCAGAAGCUUAUGGCUUUCCCUGAAGGCCUCCUCUCCUUACACUAGGUUGGGUAUUUCCACCAUGUCACACUUUAUUGUUAGUGUUGAUGGCCUGGGCUCCCCAGUAGUGGAAGCUCCCUGGGGGGAUGUCUGUGUCUUAUAAGGCAAAAUCUCAUCAAAGAGUGUAUUGGAGUUAUUUCUUGAGAGAACAUAUGAAGAGAAAACUGGAAAAUGUACCAGAAGGAGGUAGAAGGAGACAAAGAUCAUUUGAUACUUUUUCAGUCCACUAAAGGUCUGAAUCUGGUAAUUAUGGGUUGAGAAAAUGGAGAGAAAAAAUGCAGAGAAUUUCUGGUGAAGCUGUUGAUACAAAUAGAAAGGCUGAAUGAGGGAAGUCAAAUAAAAAAAAGCAGAAAAGUAUGGAACAAAUGGAUGAGGCUAUGGUUUGGAGGAAUCAAAACAUAGUAUAUCGGUUAAGUGACUUUAGAUUCAGAGAAGAAAAUGGAGUCUUUUGAGUUCACUUCAUCUCCUUUCAUAUCAUCCUGGAACCACGUUCCAACUGGCAAGGCACUAGUUAUCUACUGGAUCUCUAAAUCCUUUAGGAGGUGAAUUUAACCUCCAAAAUGUGCUUUGAAUUGGUGGUUUCUUCACCAUCAUUAUUAUCGACGUCCUAUGGCUGCCGUAACAAUUUACCACACACUUAGUGGCUGAAAACAAUACAAAUGUAUUAUCUUAUAGUUGUGUAGGCUAGAAGUCUGAUAUGGAUCUCAUUGGGCUAAAAUGAAGGACUUGGUAGGGCUGCAUUUCUUUCUGGAGGCUUAGGAGAGAGAAUCUGCUUCUUUGCCUUUUCCAGUUUUCAAAGGCCAUCUGCAGUCCUUGACUUGUGGCCCCUUCCCCUAUCUCCACAUCCAGCAAUGUUACAGCUCUCUGCCUGGCUUUCAUGAUCACAUUUCUUUCUCUGAUCCUUUUUUUCUGCCUCCCUUUUCCACUCUUAAGGACCCUUUGAUUACUUUAGGCCACCCAGAUGGUCCAGAACAGUCUCCAUAUUUUAAGGGUCCUUAAGUAGGGAAGAAUCAGAGUGGGAAACUGCUGGGUAGUGUUCCAUCAAGGCAGCUAUGGGAAUGUUCGAGCCAAAGGAAGGUGGCUGAAGACAUGGAGGGCAGGGGGCCAGUGUACAGGGAAGACCUAGUGGGGUCAGGACUGGUGUCAAGGCCAAGGUCAGUUAUUGCACCCAGUCAUGUAUUCCUCAUUGAUGUCUUUAUACAAAAUGACAAAUGUAUACAAAAUGACAUGCUGGAAGCCAGCCAGCAUUAGGAUACAGGGACUUAUGCCCCCUUUUCUGUGUUCUACUAGUUUGCUAGACUUUCAUCUUUAUUUUUGAUAUUUUUCCCCUCAAAUUACUGGAGAGACUUUGAAAUAUGCAAGAGGUAUCUCUUUUUUCAAAUUCCAUCUCUUGCCAUCAGCAUGAGGACCACUUUUGGCUUAUGGACAGUCUGUAAGACAUGUGGCAUGUGCUGGUGACUUUCUUGUCCUUGCAAAGUCACAGGAAUGUCACUGCCUGGAUAGGCUUAGGAAUCACAGCUCUGGCUUAAUACCUGCUCUUUCUCUCCAUCUAUCUGGGGAUGUUUGAUGACUUUUCAGUGUAGAAUGCAAACAAAUGAAGAUGUAUCUAAGAUGCCUUUGUUUAGCAACUGGCUGGCUAUUUUAUCAUGGCUUUAAAUUUAGCUUUUUACUAAUGACUAUGUGCAUUUGGGAGGAAAGGCUGGCUUUGCAGUCCCGAUAAGUUAAAGAUCUUAAGUAGUUUAGACACACGCCUUUGCUCGAGGAAAUUCACAGAAACCACCACUGCUAUACAUCUUAUUGAAUGACUCACAAGUUCUCCUUCACUGAUUAAUCCUUUUCCUCAUCCCUUCCUACCCUCCCAUUUGCCCUAAGAACAAAGAGCUUGUAAACCAAUAAAUUGGGUGGAGGCUGAGAGCUCGGGGGUGAUUGUCUUGGCUAUACAGGGUCUCCUUUGAUUCCAUAUGAAAUUUAAAAUUUUUUUUCUAAUUCUGUGAAGAAUGUCAAUGGGAGUUUGAUGGGAAUAGCAUUGAAUCUAUACAUUACUUUGGGCCGUAUGGCCAUUUUCAUGACAUUGAUUCUUCCUAUCCAUGAGGAUGGAAUGUUUUUCCAUUUGUUUGUGUCCUCUCUUAUUUCCUUGAGCAAUGGUUUGUAGUUCUCCUUGAAGAGGUCCUUCACUUCCCUUGUUAGCUGUAUUCCUAGGUAUUUUAUUCUGUUUGUAGCAAUUGUGACCUGACCUUUCUCUCUGGCUGCCCUUAACAGUUUUUCCUUCAUUUCUACCUUGGAGAAUCUGAUAAUUACGUUUCUUGGGGUUGAACUUCUCGUGGAGUAUCUUAACGGUGUUAUCUGUAUUUCCUGAAUUUGCAUGUUGGCCUGUCUUGCUAGGUUGGGGAAGUUCUCCUGGAAAAUAUCCUGAAGUGUGUUUUCCAGCUUGUUUCCAUUCACCUCAUCUCCUUUGGUACUCUAAUCAAUCAUAGGUUUGGUCUUUUUAUGAAGUCCCAUAUUUCCUGGAGGCUUUGUUCACAUUUCAUUCUUCAUUCUUUUCAUUCCUUUUUUCUCCAUUGUCUGCAUGUCUUAUUUCAGUAAGGUGGUCUUCAAACUCUUAUAUCCUUUCUUCUGCUUGAUUGAUUUGGCUGUUGAUACUUGUGCAUGGUUCACUCGUGCUGUGUUUUUCAGCUCCAUCAGGUCGUUUAUGUUCCUCUCUAAACUGGUUAUUCUAGCUAGCCAUUUAUCUAACCUUUUAUCAAGAUUCUUAGCUUCUUUGCAUUGGGUUAGAACAUGGGUCAAGGAUAAGAGAGGAGAAAGAAGAGAAAGAGUGAAACGAGGGAAGGCAGCAUAAGUGUGGUUAUAUCUAGUUUCCCUCUUGGGUGCUGGGCUGCUGGGAAAACUGGCACUUCCAGUGAAUUCCUUCAGGGUUAUGGAGACUGAAUAUCUUAAUUAAGUGAGGUUGCCUUUUAAAAAGCCACUUGGAUCCAUUUUUAUUGUGGUCUAUAGUGCUUAUUUCUUUGGUGUACAAAUCUGAUGGGAGAAGAUCCAUCAAAAGAAAGGGGAGGGGAUAGAGGAGGAAAGAAUGAGAGAUGGGGCACUCUUGGUAGUGUGUCAACCAAGCCCUGGCUGCCUCAGGCCAUUCUCCUUGCUUUGUCCCUUGGUACGCUUUAAACUUAACAGUUCCCUAAGACUGGUUCCAGAGCAAGGUCCUGCUUCCCUGCUAUGUCUCAUAGAGAAGUGAAACCUCUCUUGCUGCUUUUCACAGGGGAGAGAGACUGGGUCAAAAACAAAACAGAGAAUCAUACAAAGCUGUUCUUUAAUUCCUGACUCCCUCAUAAGACAGACUAGAAACUCUGGUGAAGUCUGUGAUUUGCUCUUAUCCAUGAGGAUGAGACUCUCUCAACUCCCUUCUUAAAUACAGGCUGGAGGAUAAAACUGAGGUCCUGCAGUUUGCAUAAUAGCUGACAUCUAUUGAGAAUCUACUGACUACUAGGAACUAUAUAAGUUGUGUACAUACUAUUUUGUUUACUUUUUCAAUUAACCACAUGAGAUAAAUACUAUUGUAGUUGCAUUUUGUCAAUACAGUAACUGAGCCUUAAAGAGAUUAAGUUACAUGUUCAAAAUCCCCUAGCCAUGAACUGAUGGACUAGGGUUUAUAUCUUAUUCGAAAAACAAUAGUAUUAACUAAUGGUUACUCAAAAAGGAUGUCUUUUAAAUUCCAGUGAGAAGUUUGCAUCUUUGAGAAUGUUAGGAUGGAUAAACAUCCAUGUCACUGCUUCUCAAUAAAAAGAACAAUUAUAGUAUAUUUUCUUAUUGCUAGUCUAACCGGAAAUAGUCUGGUUUAUUACUUAUAAACUAGUUCUUGGAACUAAGACCGUAAACCUUGACUUGGUGCAGGAAAUGGUGUGGUUUUACAUGCUCAGGAAACAAUGACCAGAGUAAAAUAUUUGACAAAUUUUAUGCUCUGAUUGAGAAUUGGAGGCCUGGGGGAAUACCUGAAUGACUUGCAUGCUGCUAAAUAUUUUUCCACAAUAUUUUUUUAAUGGUUGCACGGUAUUCCAUUGUAUGGUUGCAAUAUAAUUUAGUUGCAUGACAUCUGGGCAAUAGGGGAGUUUCUAAGAGCAGGAGGAAUUUUAGAAAAGAGAAACUGAGUAUUAGGUGUUCAGUAGCCAGCUUUUCCAGCUUUAGGAAUUUUCUUGGGACUAGCUCUGUCCAAGGGGUAAACUAUACAUGCUGUAUACUUUUCCAGGCAGGAAGGGGAAAGACCCAUGCUUCUUAGUCUAGCUGCCUCCCAGAAACCUUUGCAAAGGUCAUCCAACUCAAUCUUGUAGUCUUGGAGAAGGCCAAUUCAGAUUCCAGUUCUCUUAAACCAGCUACAGAAAACAUAACUUUUGUAACUCAGUAGGGUCAGGCUUAUUUGUAACUUAGAUUGGCUGAAGCCUUUAUUAAGUGAAAAAAGAUGGAAGCAUAACAACAUUCCUAACUGAAUGCCAUUCAUGGAAAGAAUGUCUGGAAUGGAAUCCUCUGUCUUGGCUAAAUUUGAAAGAAUAGCAUAUCCUGAAAAGAAGCAUGAAGGAGAUUAUCUGAUCUUACCUACUGGCUAAGGAUCAAAAUGUUAAGAAAAGCACACGAGAUCAUCUUUCUGAAGCAGGAAGAGUCUACGAAUCAGACAUACUGAAUUAAGUCAUGAACCAGAGUCAUGUCCUAGAAUUGUGUCCAUGAACCUGGCCAAGACAUUUCCUAUUCCAUUUCAGGUCCAAGAUUCUCAUAGUGCAGAGCUACCUUUCGAAACAUUUAAUCACAGAUCUUCUUUCAGACUGGACAGUGAUCAUGGCAUCUUUCAGGCAGAAAGAGGAGGGUUAACUUGGCUGGGAGAGGAGAUAAGGAAAUGUCUAACCAGUCUUCUCACCACCAAAAAACAAAACAAAACAAUUCAAAACGAAACAAAACAAAAAAACUAUUAGCACCUGGCACAGCACCUGUCAUAUAGUAAUAGAAGCUUAAUACAUAUUUUGUGAAUAAAUAUAAAAAUUAGAGGUUGAAGUAGAACUGCGGACUGUCCAUUACCAUGCUUGAUACUUCAGUAGAAUGUGUGCCAAAGAAUAUGGUCCCAGCUCCUCUCUGGGCUUAGGUCUGGUCUCUCCUCAGCUUCUCAGCUUUAUAGGUCAGGAAUUUCCCAAGCUAUCAUUUUACUUUGAUCCUCUCAGGAACAGAAGUGAGAAAGAAGAGAUGAGGUAUAGCUAGAAAUUUAUGAGAAGGGAUGGGAAGGAGAAAAUAGUGCUGACUUGACCCUGUACUGACAGGGACACCUGCCCAUCAGCAAUGCUUUGAGCUGCAAGUAGAAGCUGGGGGGUCAGGGAGAGGCUAUGUUGGUGGCUAUAGAGUAACAGAUGACCUGGUUGACCUUGAUUAUUGACCAACCUAUUACAAUGAAAUGGUUGAGGGAUUACAAGUACAGACACAAAUAAUUUUAUAUGUAAUAAGUAAAUUAAUACUUUAUAUGUUUUUUUUUCUGGGAAGAUGGAAAGCUGUUUGUUAGAGCAAAGAAUUCUAAUAGUGCCACAUGUGUAAUAAAAAUCAGAUUCAUGACCAUGACCUUCAGUUCCUGCUUUAUGUUGGAUUAGCCUUGGGCAAGUCAAAUAAACUAGAGAAAAGAGUAUUUCCAUUUUCCUCUGUAAAACCAAGUUGGCCCAAACGUAUAUUCCUCCUUUUAUAUGAUUAGUGUGAGCGUUCAAGCUGGGUGGAGGCAGGGCAUCUCUUUUGUAAUAAGUUGUCACCAGAAAGUCUCAUUUUGUUGAGAAGAGAAACCCCUGCAAUUGAUGGGACUUGGAACAAACUUUCUGGGACACUAAAUGGCAGGAGAGCCAGUGUUUUAAGAAGUCAUUUCUGUCCUGGUUUGUUAUUAAACUGUGGAGCUUCCUUUUCAAGAUAGUAAAGAUAGUAAUAAGUCAUGUAAUACAAAUUGAUUCAAAAGGAGACUUAGGGGCUUACAGAAUCCCAAGACAGACAAGCAUUAAAAGUGCCUGCGGAUCCGGCAGGAAGCCAAUCCCCAGAUGUUACUUUUGGCUGGGAAGGGUGAGGAGGAAGCGGUGGCCUUGCUCUGGCUUAAUCUGCAGUGACAACCGUGGCGAGCAUGAGUCACUCUGGGCCUCAUCUGAACCCUAUCUUGGCAUCUUGCUUGUGGAGAGGCAGUGCUGUAUAAUGGUUCAGAGCAGGCUUUGGAACAGACUGCCUGGACAAGCUACUUAAUUGCUCUGUUCCUUAGUUUCCUCAUCUGCAAAGUAGGGGGAAAUAGCAGCACCUACCUCGCUGGGUUGUUGUGAAGUUUAAAUAAAUUAAUACAUGUGAAGUACUUAGAACAUUGCCUGGCACAUUUGCUAGAUGGUCAAUAAAUGUUGCAUAUUAUUUUAUAUGGGCUAUUUCUUCAGUUCAGUAUUCUGAGUCUCUAAUCUGAGAAACUUGGUGGCACAAAUAUUUCCUAGUUAGGCAAGCACUUUGUAAUGUUUUUAAUUUGUAAUAGAAAACAAGGAUAACUUAGCAAAUGAAUACCCACAAGCAAACACUGCACUUCAUUUUAACCAGACAAUCCAAUAUCUUUCCCUAGCACACUUUUGUUCUGAGAGGGAAAUCAAAGAAACUAGAGCUUUCUUUCUUUCUCUUAAUCCUGCAUACCUUCCACUGUAGGUACCAACUGUCAUUUAAUAAAAGCUCUGCAGCAGAAGAGAAAACAGGCAGAGCAAACAGCCCUAAUAAUUUACUUAUUUUUGAUUCACAUCCUAAUAAUAAUGGUCACCAUGGUUUAGAGUAAUAUUGAAUUCCUAUUACUUGCCACCUGUGCUGUAGUUAAAAUGUCUUUUCUAACACUGAUACCCCCUUAUGUCCCAUUUCCUCCACGAUAAGAAUUGUUAUCUAUAUUUUUACCCAUUUCAGCAAACAUUUGUGGAAUAUCUUUCAUGUGCCAGGCCCCUGCUCCAUCAUAGUAAGAUGUGCUUACUUCCCUUUCACCUUCUGCCAUGAUUGUAAGUUUCCCGAGGCUUCCCAGCCAUACUUCUUGCACAGCCUGUGGAACUGUGAGUCAAUUAAACCUCUUUUCUCAUAGAUUAGCCAGUCUCAGGUAGUUCUUUAUAGCAGUGUGAGAACAGACUAAUACAGAAGGGUAUGGGAGCACUUAGCCAUAGCAGAUAAUAAAACAUGAAAACAAAAGCAAACCAAUGGAGCAAAAAAAAAAAGUCUAGAAAUAAACCCAGAAAUACAUGGACAUUAUUCAUAAAGAGAUGGCAUUUCAAAUUGGUGGGGAGAAAUAUGGAUAAGUAAAUCCAUAGCCGAUGGGUGUGAUGACUUAUGCCUGUAAUCCCAGCACUUUGGGAGGCCAAGGCAGGUGGAUCACUUGAGGUUGAGAGUUUGAGACCAGCCUGGCCAACAUGGUGUAACCCCGUCUAUAUUAAAAAUAGAAAAAUUAACCGGGCGUGGCAACAGGCGCCUGUAAUCCCAGCUACUUGGGAGGUACUUGGGAGGCUCAAGCACCAGAAUUGCUUGAACCCAGAAGGCAAAAGUUACAGCGAGCCAAGAUUCUGUCACUGCACUUCAGCAACAGAGCGAGGGCAACAGAGCGAGACUGUCUAAAAAAGAAAAAUAAAGAGAAAGAAAGAAAGAAAAAAAAAAAGGUAAAUCCAUUGUCCUUCUUGUCUCCUAGCUUUGACUGCAGAAAGGAGGUUCUUCUUUGUCUAUUUAUCCCCCUUGGUCACAUUUGAAGUUGUGUAUGAGAACAUGAGCUCCCGGGGGCCUGCACGGUUUUCCUGGUCUGUUUUAUGCUGCUGCUGAUUUGAUUUCAAGGUCCACAUAACUUCUCCUUAUAGUCCAUUGGUCAGCUACAUCUACCUGCAAGGGUGGUUGGAAAUGUAGUUGCUAGAUAAGUGACCAUGUGCCCAGAAAGAAGGAAAAGUGGAUUCGGGGGUGGGGGUGGGGGGUCGGGGGGGGCGUUAGCACUCUUUCCCCUUCAUUCAUUCCAUAAAUAUUUCAACACCUAAUGUGUGCCAAGGACAUUCUAAGCAUUAUGGAUACAAUGAACAAAACAGAUAAAAGAUCCAUGCUCUUAUAUUCACCCUUAGAGCAGCAAUGGGGGAACACCAAAAACAAUAAAAAAUAUCAGACAGCAAUAAAUGAAGUGGCCAAAAUAAAGCAGACAAGCAGUGUGGGGAGUUCAGGGAAACGGGGUGGUGUGUUGCAAUCUUAAAUAGGGUGGUAAAGGAAGGUGCUCUGGGAAGGUAAUAUUUGAGGGAAGACCUGAAGGAGGUGAGGGAGUAAACGUGCAGAUGCAUGUGAGAGAAGAGGGAUCCAGGCAGUGCUAAGAGGAUGUGCAAACAUCCCAGGCAGGAUCAUGCUUGCAGUGAGAGGAAGCUCGUAGUUGAGGAAGAACAAGGAGGUUAUUAUGAAGGGAGCAGAACAAGCCAGGGCGUGAGUAGUAGGAAAGGAAGUCAGAUAGAUAGCGGAAGGGAUAGGGAUGGGCUGGCAGAUUGUGUGGAACUUUGAAGACUACUGUCAGAACUUUGGCUUUGACUCUGAGUGGGGCCACUGGAGAGUUUUGAGCCAAGGACUGUCAUACUCUGACUUACAUUUUUGAAAGGCUAUUAUUUUGCAACUAGAUUAUGAGGGGCAAGGACUGAUAGGAGACGAUUGUAAGGGACAUGGAUGGAGUUGGAAGCCAUUAUCCUCAGCAAACUAAUGCAGGAACCAAAAUCCAAACACUGCAUGUUCUCACUUAUAAGUGGGAGCUGAAUAAUGAGAACACAUGGACACAUGGGUGGGAACUACACACUCUGGGGCCUGUCGGGGAGAGUGGGGGGAGGGAGAGCACCAGGAAGAAUAACUAAUGGAUUCUGGGCUUAAUACAUAGGUGAUGGGACAUGGCACACGUUUACCUAUGUAACAAACCUGCACAUCCUGCGCAUGUACCCCUGAGCUUAAAAUAAAAGUUGAAGAAGAAACAAGCAAACCGCUAGUUGCAGAAUUCUCAAUAUGGACUGGGCACUUCUGAGUGGGUAGUUUGGAAUUUUCCUAAGUUGAAUCCUAAAAUGACCUCUGAUCGAUCAACAUAAUUAAUGAGCUCCUUGCUGUGUGCCCAGCACUGCCAGUAGCUGCUUUAAGGGCCAUAGAUGUAAAAUCACAUUUCAUGCUCUCAUUGAGAAGGCAAUCUAGCUGUGCUGACAAUGCUGACUUCUGUGGAACAAUAGUGGAUAUGACAAGCCAGAAUAUAACAAGAUGUGGAGAAAGUGGUGUGCAAACUCUAAGACCUGCUGGACCAAAGAGCUGAAUGAAUGAGGAAAGCUAGGAUGCAAACAUGUGAAUAUAAUAUUUUCAACAAAACAGAACAAAAAAAGUGUUAAGAAAUCUUGAGCUUUGGAGCCAGACCAUCUUAAUUCAAAUUUCAACUUUGCCACUGAUUGUUCAUGUGAUCUCAGACUAGUUACAUAAUUUUAUGUGCCUCAGUUCCUUCAGCUAUAAAAAGGGAUAUUCAUAGUACCAACCUUUUAGGGUUGUUUUGAGGCUUAAAUGAGUUAAUGUUUCAAAGAGCUUAGGAUAGGCCUAGGCUCUGCCAAUCAGACAUAAACAUGAAACUUUAAUUCAAAUAUGAGACAGCAACUGACUCUGGAUCUGUAAAGACAUCCAACUUUUACCCUAGUCACAAGAUCAAAAUGGAAUUGGUACUGGUGGGAGGAGUGGCUACAGAAUAGUCUAGUUCCAGGGAUUUAUAUGUUGUUUCCCCAUUGAAUUAGUUCUGUGUGAUUUUGGGCAUUAUUCCUGAAAGCUUCAGUUCUAAUCUGUUUUUCCAGCUAGUUCAAUAAUUCUGAGGGCAAAUGUGUCUUUUAAAAACCUCCCCACCAUCAUUUUCCCUCUAAACUAUAUAGAGUGGAUACAGUGGAUUCUGUUGUUCCCAAUUAAGAAGUGUGGCUGAUAUAAAUGUGGUAUGGUUUCAGGGAUGCAAAGAAAGGCCUUUUGGACAAUUUUUUAUGUCUGGAAUUGUAGCAUCUGGGAAUUUUCUCUAAUGCUUUUAUGUUGAUAUGCAAACCCUGGAAGGAAGGUGUCAUAUACAGAGUUUUUAAUUAUUUUUGUGUAAAGUGCUUUAUUUGGAGCUGGAGUGGGGGCACACUAAUUUGGAUUCCUGUCUAAGCAGCUUGAGUCUGGAAUGAGAAGUGAGAUCUGUUCUGAUUAAUUUUUCUCCUUCCUUGUUCUCCAGAGUUGGGCAACAUUACAUUGUUUUGUCAUCUCACAUUUCCAAGGUUGCCUGAUAAUAACCAGAACUUGUUUUUGCCUUAAAAUGUUUCACAUUCUUUCCCCUGGGUGACACAUAAGAUUUACAUAAUUUCCAUAUUUGUCUGAUUCACUUAGGCUAAAUCAUUCAGUAGAUCCAAGAAAUACCUUUGAUGUCAUGAUUUGGAGCAUACCCACAUCCAUCUGAAAAAUGUUCAGUGGUCAUUGGCAGAAUUAGAAAAAAACUACUUUAAAUUUCAUAUGGAACCAAAAAGAGAGCCCUUAUAGCCAAGACAAUCCUUAUCCAAAAAAAAUAAAUAAAUAAAAAAGAAAGCUGGAGUCAUCAAGCUACCUGAUUUCAAACUAUACUACAAGGCAAGAGUAACCAAAACAGCAUGAUACUGGUACCAAAACAGAGAUAUAGACCAAUGGAACAGAACUGUGGCCUCAGAAAUAAAACCACACAUCUACAACCAUCUGAUCUUCGACAAACCUGACAAAAACAAUCAAUGGGGAAAGGAUUCCCUGUUUAAUAAAUGGUACUGGGAAAACUGGCUAGCCACAUGCAGAAAGCAGAAAUUGGACCCCUUCCUUACACCUUAUACAAAAAUUAACUCACGAUAGGUUAAAGACUUAAAUGUAAAACGCCAUAAAAACCCUAGAAGGAAACCUAUGCCAUACCAUUCAGGACAUAGGCGUGGGCAAAGACUUCAUGACUAAAAGGCCAAAAGCAAUUACAGCAAAAGCCAAAAUUGACAAAUGGGAUCUAAUUCAACCAUAGAGCUUUUGCACAGCAAAACAAACUGUCAUUAGAGUGAACAGGCAACCUGCAGAAUGGGAGAAAAUUUUUGCAAUCUAUCCAUCUGACAAAGGGCUAAGAUCCAGGAUCUGCAAGGAACUUAAACAAAUUUACAAGAAAAAAACAACCCUAUCCAAAAGUGGGCAAAGAUAUGAACAGACACUUCUCAAAAAAAGACAUUUAUGUGGCCAAAAAACAUAUGAAGAAAAGCUCAUCAUCACUGGUCAUUAGAGAAAUGCAAAUCAAAACCACAGUGAGAUAUCAUCUCAAGCCAGUUAGAAUGGGGAUCAUUAAAAAGUCAGGAAACAACAGAUGCUGGAGAGGAUGUGGAUAAAUAAGAACACUUUUACACAGUUGGUGGGAGUGUAAAUUAGCUUAACCAUUGUGGAAGACAGUGUGGCAAUUCCUCAACGGUCUAGAACCAGAAAUUCCAUUUGACCCAGCAAUCCCAUUACUGGGUUUAUACCCAAAAGACUAUAAAUUAUUCUACUAUAAAGGCACAUGCACAUGUGUGUGUAUUGCAGCACUAUUUACAAUAGUAAAGACUUGGAACCAACCCAAAUGCCCAUCAAUGAUAGACAGGAUAAGGAAAAUGUGGCACAUAUACACCAUGGAAUAGUAUGCAGCCAUAAAAAAGAAUGAGUUCAUGUCCUUUGCAGGGACAUGGAUGAAGCUGGAAACCAUCAUUCUCAGCAAACUAACACAGGAACAGAAAACCAAACACCACAUAUUCUCACUCGUGGAUACUCUCAGUUUCUCUUCUUCUACUUUUAAUACCUGGGUAAUAAGAACAAAGAGGACCUAUUCCAGACAGUUCAAGGGGAGGUUUUCUCCUAAUGGUUUCUUACAUUGUGCAGAAUGGAGGCAACAAAGUCUACAGAGAAUACUGGGGAAAACAGAGCGCUGGACUUCAGUCCUCUCUGUAUAUAGGGAAUGGUCUCUAGAUGCUCAUGGUUUCAACGAAUUUUAGUAUACCACAGUACUCAUUUCUACUCUCUAGCUCCCUGACUUCCAGAGAGAGCUACAUGCUUGAUUUCUAAUAAUGCUUUCAGUAUAAGAGAGAAGAAAAUAAUGCAGGGUUAAUUGCUGAGGUAUUCUGGGAUCACCUUUCAGUCAUAUAUCUGGCAUUUGCCCUAGAACCUUAAAUCCUUGUGGAGAGAGAGUUUUUGGAUAAACUGUACUAGCACAAUGUCUAUAGAAACAUUUGUUCUCUUCUUGCAUCUUCCUAAACUCUAAGGGUUAUUCCUAAGAGUGGAAUAUAGCUACAUUUUCUCCCUCAUAUUUUAAUGAAAAUAUAUUAAUGAUUAACCUGCUAUACUUUGCUAUUUUAUUCACUUUUUAUGUACAGUAGAUUCAGGUUUUCCUAAGGGGUUGGAAGCACUCUGCUUGGAUGAAGCUAUUUGGCAUGAUAGUCCUGAACCACUACGAAGUCACAGAAUCAAGAAGAUUAGGGCUUCAAGGAACCUUAGAGACUACUAGACAAACCACUCUCCUUCACAGAAGAGGAAACCAGGGCCCACAGGAGGCCCUCAUUGAAAUGUAUUUGAUAGGCUGGGUGCAGUGGCUCACACCUGUAAUCCAAGGACUUUGGAGGCUGAGGCAGGAGGAUCACUUGAGGCCAAGAGUUCGAGACUAGCCUGGGCAACAUAAUGAGACCUUAUAUCUACAAAAAAUUAUCAAAUUGGCUGGGUGUGGUAGCACACACCUGUAGUACUAGCUACUUGGGAGGCUGAGAACAUUUGUCUAUAUCUCUGCUCAUGUUACAUAGCAGAGAAGUUUUAAAAAGUGUUUUGGCCAUCUCUCAGUUCAUCAGAGAGCUCCAUUAGCUAAGAGAACAUAAUGCACAAUUUUCUUAUAGGUUUAUUUCCUAUUAUCUGUUUCUCCCUACUAGAAUAUAAGCUCUGGGAGGUGCCUGGAUAUCCCUUUAAGGAAGGCUUGCUCUACCUUUUUCUCCUUUUAAAAAACAAAAACCAAACAACGAUAACAACACUAUUUUUGGGCUUAAAUCACAUGAUUUAAGACCUCAAACUCACCACAAUGGAGGAACCAUAUACUUGUAUGCCUCUUUUCUAUUUAACCCGACGGAUUUCCAGAUUCACUCUCCAAACACACCUUUUUUUAUUAUCCUCAUUCAUCUUUCAAAUUCCCAGUUAUUUCUAUUAUGUGCUUACCAAUAAAGACUAUUGUGAAAUGAAGGAUGAAGGGUCUUUGGAGAGAUGAGGACUUGUUCUCCUUAAUAUUCUUCCAUUCCUUUGACAACGAAAUUAUCCUGAAAAUGAACUGUCAUUAUGAUACCUGUGGAAGCAGAAAAGUCUAAAACAACACUCAAGAUGGCUGUUUGGGAGAAUAUUCUUGAUAAGCUAUGCUAGAAUAUAGGUCAGAUCAGCUAUAUAAAUAUCUAAGACAAUGCUUUCAGGCACUAAAUGCUACUCAUAAAAAAUUAAGUGGAAUUUAGAGUGGUUUUAAAAUUUAUUACAAAUGACAAAUUGAAAAAUAAGCCAAAUGGGAAUAUAGAUUUUAUUUCUAUAUUUAGUGUAGGAAAGUCAUAGGAAUCCCUUGGCCAGUGAUUGUGGAAAAUUUAGUUUUGGAGCUGUAAGUGUUGAAAUUCCCAUGGUAUUAAAUUAUUUUGAUGAGUUCAAAAAUAUCCUAAAUAAUUAAAGGAAACAUGUUAUUAACUGUUUUUAACACUACUAGAGUAGGUGGUUUCAGAUAAUUUUUAUGCUAAUGGUUUUCUCUCCUAGAUCUAAUUUAAUGGUCUGGAAUGUUCUCCAUUUGACCACCUGUCUCGAUGGAAUGAAGUCAACUAGUUUGCCUACUCCUGCUUUUUAUCUUCCAGUGUAGAUAUGAAGAAUAAGAAGAAGAGAUUUUAAAAUGUAGUGAUGAUUAUACUAAUAUAUUUAAGUGUAUCUCCAAGUAUUUUUAAGUAUGUCUUUGGCUAAAAAUGAGAACUUGUAUUUUUAAUUCAAUGAAGGGGUCUAUACUAAUUAGAAAACCAUUUUUUGGUGGGGAGAAAAGAGCAGUUAUUACACAUUUGCGCAAUUUGUUAUCUUCUAAAUAAAUUCAUAAUCUUAUGUAGCAUUCAUACAUUAUUAAUAAAUUUCAGGACUUUUCAGCAGGAGUCAUAAAUUUUUAAAACUUAUUGCAUAAUUUAAAAAAUUAGGAGGGGAAACAAAAUUUGGAAUAGUGACAUAUUUUAAGAGAAAAAUAUAUUCUCAAACUCUUGUUAUGCUGAUAACAAUUUGCUAAUUGCAAAUCAUCUCUAUUUAUUAAAGCAAUUUCUCUAAGGACUAAUAGAUUACAUGUUUUCAACCUCAUAUAUUAUUUUAGGUGUAUGUGAAAAUAGUGAAACUGUAUUUCUUUAACAACAUAUUUUUUCUUUUUCUUUUUUUUUUUUUUGGGACAGAGUCUCACUCUGUCGCCCAGGCUGGAGUGCAGUGGCAUGAUUUUGGCUCACUGCAACCUCCGCCUCCUGGGUUCACGCCAUUCUCCUGCCUCAGCCUCCUGAGUAGCUGGGACUACAGGUGCCCGCUCCCACGCCUGGCUAAUUUUUGGUUAUUUUUAGUAGAGUCAGGGUUUCACCGUGUUAGCCAGGAUGGUCUCGAUCUCCUGACCUCGUGAUCCGCCCGCCUCAGCCUCCCAAAGUGCUGGGAUUACAGGUGUGAGCCACCGCGCCUGGCCAACAACAUAUUUUUUCAUUCAGACUUUUUACUUACCAGGUGGAUCUUCUCCUGGUUUAGUGCAUUCUGGAGAUUAGAUUAUGGAGACUAUUUCUGUUCAUGAAAGUCACACUCUAAAUCACUUAAGUUUCUGUGGUUUCCAGAAGAAGUUAAACAUUUACGGGAAAAAGUCAACAUCCUCGAUAGCUCCAGUGUACUUUGGCAUUUCCGUGGACAUGGGAAAGAGAAACAUGGUUCAUAGCUCUCUCUGGCUUCUGCAUAAUGUUACACCAAAUACCAUAUGCUCUGUCGGUGACAAUUUUCUUCACUCAUUGUGUCUUUUAACUCCAAAUGUUCACAUUUUAAUAAUUUGCUUGAGAAGAAUGAAAAGUGACACACAUAUUACCUUUAAAAAUCUAUAUUCCUUUUGGAUAUAUCUUUUUGAAAACAGAAUUCAUAUUUAGUGCUUUGGGUAAGGCAAAAUUAAAUUCAACCUUUUAGUUUAUGUUCCUGAGAAAGGUAGUUUCAGAGGCAUCAGAGAAACAAUGAGUUCAGAUUACAUCAUUUAUUUAACAUUUCCAAGUGAUAUGUUUUCAAUUAAAGUUUUAUCGGCCAUGUAUUGAAUAUAAAUUCUUCUUUCUAUUCAAUAUCUAUUAUAAAAGAAUAUGAUUUCACCAUGGUGUAUGCCUAUGUAUUCAAUUAAGAAAAUUGCUUAGCUUAACUUCCUAAAUUUUCCAAUCAGAAAAGUUUUCCAACAUUGAAAUUAGCCUGCAUCUCUGGGAAAAGGUAAGUGCCUUAUGGCUAUAGACACCAGACAGGUGCUGGAGGGCCGUCUCCUAAAGACACUGACAACGUUCCUUUUAGAGAGAAAGACUGAACUGGCAAGGGAGUAUUGUCAGCAGCCAUAAGGUUUUAUAUCCAGCUGCUGUGACUUGAUACUGCUGAUAUAACUAAAUCUGGAGAACAUUUCUUUUAGUCUCUCCCUUUCAGGCAAGGGUUUUUGUCAGAAAUACUAUUCCCUGUUAGAGCAAGGACACUCUGUUGAGAUGGGGGUUAGACAUCUAGGUACUGUUCCUGUUCAUCUACUAACUAGCUACACAAUUGUGAGCACAUUGCUUCUUUAUCUGUUUCUCUAAGUCCUUCUUCAUCAAAAUAAUUUGAAUUUCCAUUUUGCUGGGGUGAAACAGUAAUUCCUAAUAUGGUGCUUCCCUUCCCCACAUCCACUGGUUGUCUCAGAGCCUGCUCCCAAGACACAUGUUGUCUUCAACUAACCUUGCUUAGGUUUGCAGGCAGGUAAUUAGACAAGAGCGUCUUGGCAUUUCAUCUUCAUCAUGUCUAUCUGUUUCACUAGAAGAAUACAGUAUUGAAGAUUCUGUGUUAUUGAAGUUUGGCGGGCAUAAUAUUAAUUGCAUUAUCUGAUAUAUAAUACAAUUUUUCAAACACAUAAAUAUUUUUUGAAUACUUACAAUGGGCAGUUAGCUAGAUACCCAGUGCAUGGGCUAGGGUUAUUAUAUUAAAAUAAAGGAUUCAGGUCUUAUUUCAAACUGCUUACAGUCUACUUGGAGAUACAAGUCCUACAGAGAGAAAUACACCUAACAACAGAAGGCUUGCUUUCUUACUUCAUUUGGCUACAGCUCAAUGUCACCCCCUUAGAGAGGCUACCAUUGACCACUCUAAAUCAAGUAAUACCAAGACAUACUCUCUGUUUCCUUACCCUGUUUUAUUUUUUCUCCAUAGAAUUUAUCACUAGUUGACCAUUUAUAUUUUUAUGUGUGUGUUCUCAAAUUUGUUAGUUGCUUUUCUCCUUCACUCAAUUUAGGUUGUAUAAAGGUAAAGGCUUUAUUUGGUAAUUGUUAGAUCACUAGUGUCAGCAGUAGUAGGUGGCACAAUAAAUACUUGUUGAAUAAAGAAAGGAAUGAUGUAUAAAUUAUAUGCCCAGGGAGUAAUAAACACAAAAGUGGACAAUUCUGAUAAGAAACUCUCAAGAAAAUGGAAUUAUGAUGGACACUUACUCAUCUUUUAAGAAUGAGUGAGAAAUUCUAGACAAGCAGGGAUAAGGGAACAUUCCGAACUUGCUCUCUAGGCUGCUUAAGCAGGACUUGAGACGAGGCAGCAAAAGAUACCUGGUUGAAACCACCAGUUAAAUAGUUACCUAUAACCUCAGCAAUAUACAUUGGAUAAUCUGUCCACAUAGGUUUAGAGAGGAUCUAAGGGCAACGACCUACAAAACAAAUAGUGGUUCAGAGGGAAAGGUGGAAGGGCUCAUGUCAGCUGAGAGCAAGGGGGCAGAAUUGAUACCCUUCAGAAGGAUACUCUCCAGCCCCACAAGGGUGCAAGACUCAGCACACAGGCCAGCACACUAUUUUUCCUAGGAUGAGGUGGGCAACUCAGUGAUUCUUUGUAUUCUGGGGCCAUGCCACUGUACUUUAAAAUGGGUUCUAAGACUGGAUCUUUCCUGUAUUUUCAUACAGUUAUGGAUAAAUACUAAAUUUGCAUAUAUUUGUUGAACUUAAAAAACUCAUGUCAUUUUCAUAGUUGAUAAAACCCAGAAACCAUCAAAUCUAGCACCUCAGUGAAACCAGAGCAGCAUUCCCUUUUUGUCUGUGAGUCUUAAGCUGGUAAACCGGGGGUUGGUGAAGAAAGUAAACUCUGGGGUCUUUUGACCUCUUAAUGUCCUUCACAGGCUGAGAGAAAUCAAAGACUCUCGAGGAAUUUUCCAGUGCUGUAGGAUUGAUGACUUUAGUCAAGUGUUGUAAAGAGACUGUCAGAAGAUAAAAGCCAGUAGAGGUACAACAUUAAACAGGGAGUGGGUUCACUUGAGUUUCUCUUAGCAAACUGCUCAAGCUUUCUUUCUUUGUCUUCAGAUGAAUGUGGUGUUUGAUUUCACUUGUCACAUGAUCCAGCUGUUUCGGGAAAAUACUUAUGUUUUCCAUUGAACAGUCCUGUUGCUAUUUUUAGUUGAUAUUGUGCAGGCACUGCAUCUUCUUGCAGGCAUCAUCUAACUCUCCAGCUGGCUGGUGUUAAUAAGGCCAAUAUUGUGGGCUUGGUAGCUGGUUUUAUGCCAAUAACUUACAAUGUGCAUGUAGCUAGAUACACUGGGCCCUCUCCCAUGGGCAGCACCCUCAAGCUUCCUCAGGGCCUUCAUGCUUUUGUGCUGUUGCUCCCUGUGCUGUUGCUUCUGGAAUAAAUAUCUCCCAGAAGAGAAGAUAGAGGCAUCUUCUUCAGUCUGAAGGGCAGGGUAUUAAAUUAUUAUUGAUUUGAAUUAAAAAUGGUUGCUUUAAGUGAGAGAUCAUGUAUUUGUGGGAAUGCUACCAGGCUAGAAGUUUGUAAGCCUGCCCUCUCUCUGGUUUGACCACUAUUUGUCUGUGUGAAUUUAGGCUAUCACAUAAACUCCAGGUCCUUGUUUGUUCAUCUCUAAAAUGAGAGAGAUGGUCAGCGCUUCUCAAUAUUUUCAACAAAAUUGUCUUCAAUAGAAAAAAGUAAAAGCAUAUAUAUAAAAUUGCCAUGUUAGAGCAUGCCAAGUAGUUCACAGUUCCCUUUUGCCUAUAGGAUAGUAUAAACUCUUUCACUAAACAUUCAAGGCCCUCUACAGCCUGGAUCCAGUUUAUCUUUCUGCCCUGCUGUGAUAUCACUCACUUCCAUAUAUGCUGUCUGCCCGUGUGCCUUUGUUCAUUCUUCCAUCAGCGUGGAAUGUCCUUUCUCCUUUCCCUCCCUCUUUAUAUCCAAUGCAUCUCUUAAGGCCUGCUUCAAAUGUCAUUUCCCAUGCAAAUUUUCUUUGAUUCCUUCAGAAAUAAUCCCCUCCUUUUUAGUUUAACCAUGCCUCUCUUGUUGUACACCCUUUCUGCUUUGCUUUUGAAUUCAUUUUCUUAUCUCUUCUGCUGCUUUGUAUGUUUCUUGGGGGUCAUUAUGGUUUCUGUUUCAACUUGGUAUUCCUCUUACUUCCCUCCACUAGUUCGAUAUCUAGUACAGAAUCUUAUAUGCUAGCACAGAAGCCUGUUUCCAUUAAAUUUUGUUGAAAUAGUAAAUUAGUCAUAAAGAGGUUAAAGCAAGACAGUAUUGCUGAAACAACAGCAUCUAUCUGCAUUGCUGAAAAAAAAUCCUUAAAGAAAUUUUACUGUUGAUUUUUCAUCAAUACCAUAGCUUUUUAAUUACAUAAUAUUUAGUUAACCCUUCAUUAUUUAUGGUCUUUUAAAAAUAUGUGAUUACCUUUUAUUUCUAAAACAGCCUUUGUAGGUAUAUAAACAGGCAUACCUUGGAGAUAUUGCAGUUUCGGUUCCAGACCUCCCCAGUAAAGCAAAUAUUGCUAUGAAAUGAGUCACAGAAUGGUUUUGGUUUCCCAGUGCAUAUAAAAGUUGUGUUUAUGUUAUACGUUAGCCUAUUAAGUGUGCAAUAGCAUUAUGUCUAAAAGAUAGUGUACAUACCUUAAUUAAAAAAGAUUUUAUUGCUUAAGGAAACUGAUGAUCAUCUGAUCUUUCAGCAAGUUGUAAUCUUUUUGCUGGUGAAGUGUCUUGCCUCAGUGUUCAUGGCUGCUGACUGAUCAGGGUGGUGGUGGCUGAAGGUUGUGAUGCCUGUGGCAAUUUCUUAAAAUAAGACAACAGUGAAGAAGUUUGUCACAUUGAUUGACAAUUCCUUUCAUGAAAGAUUUUUCUGUAGCAUGUGAUGCUGUUUGACAGCAUUUUACCAACAGUAGAACGUCUUUCAAAAUUGGAGGCAAUUCUCUCAAACCCUGCUGUCACUUUAUCAACUAAGUUUAUAGAAUAGUCUAAAUAUUUUGUUGUCAUUUCAACAAUGUUCACAGCAUCUUCACCAGGGGUAGAUUCCAUAUCAAGAAACUUUCCUUGCUCAUUUAUAAGAAGAAAUGCCUCACCCAUCCAAGUUUUAUCAAGGAAUUGCAGCAAUUCAGUUACAUCUUCAGGUUCCACUUCUAGUUCUAGUUCCACAGUUACUUCCUUUACUGAUGUCUUAAACACCUCAAGUCAUCCAUGAGGGUUGGAAUCAACUUCUUCUGAACUCCCAUGAAUGUUGAUAUUUUCACCUCCUCCCAUAAAUUACAAAUGUUCUUAAUGGCAUCUAGAAUAGUGAAUCAUUUCCAGAAGGUUUUCAAAUAACUUUGCCCAGCUCCAUCAGAGGAAUCACUAUCUAUGCCAGCUAGAGCUUCGAAAAAUGUGUUUCUCAAAUAACAAGACUUGAAAGUUGAAUUGAUUCCUUAAUUCAUGGGCUGAAGAAUGAAUGUGCUAGCAGGCAUGAAAACAACAUGAAUCUCUGUAUAUCUCUAUCAGCGAUAGGCUACGUGUGCUGGGUGACUACGUGCAUUGUCAAUGAUCAGUAAUAUUUUGAAAGGAAUUUUUUUUAAUGUGCAGUAGGGUUCAACAGUGGGCUUAAAAUAUUCAGUAAACUAUGCUGUAAACAGAUGUGCUGUCAUUAGGCUGUGUUGUUUCAUUUAUAGAGCACAGGCAGAGUAAAUUUAGUAUGAUUUUUAAGGGCACUGAGAUUUUCAGAAUGGUAAGUGAGCAUUGGUUUCCACAUACAGUCUCCAGCUGCAUUAACCCCUAACAAGAGAGUCUGCCUGUCUUUUGAAGCUUUGAAGCCAGAUAUUGACUUCUCCUCUCUAGCUACAAAAGUCUUAGAUGGCAUCUGCUUCCAAUAGAAGACUGUUUCAUUUACAUUGAAAAUUUGUUAUUUAGUGUAUCCACCUUCAUCAAUUAUUUUAGCUAGAUUUUUUGGAUAACUUGCUGCAGCUUCUACACCAGCACUCACUGCUUCAUCUUGCACUUUUAUGUUAUGGAGAUAGCUUUGUUCCUUAAAAAUUAUAAACCACCUUCUGUUAGCUUCAGAUGAUUCUUUUGCAGCUUCCUCACCUCUGUCAGCCUUCAUAAAUUUGAAGAGAGUUAAGGUCUUGCUCUGGAUUAGGCUUUGGCUUAAGGAAAUGUUGUGGCUGAUUUAAUCUUCUAUCCAGACCACUCGAACUUUCUCUGCAUUAGCAAUAAGUCUGUUUGGCUUUUUUAUCAUUCAUGUGUUCACUGGUGUAGUACUUUUCAUUUCCUUCAAUAACUUUUUCUUUGCAUUUACAACUUGGUUAACUGUCUGGCACAAAAGGCCUAGCUUUCAGCCUAUCUCAGCUUUUGACAUGCCUUCAUCACUAAGCUUAAUUAUUUCUAGCUUUUUAUUUAAAGUGAGAGAUGUGCAAACAUUCCUUUCACUUGAAAACUUAGAAGACAUUGCAGGAUUAUUAAUUGGCAUAAUUUAAAAAUUGUUGUGUCUCAGGGAAUAGGGAGGCUUAAGGAGAGAGAAAGAGAUGAGGGAAUGGUCAGUUGGAGCAGUCAGAACACAUACAACGUUUAUUAAGUUUGCUCUCUCAUAUGGGCAUGGCCCAAAACAAUUAUAAUAGUAAUAUCAAAGAUCACUGAUCAGAGAUAGUCAUAGCAGAUAGAAUAAUAAUGAAAAAGUUUGAAAUAUUGUGAGAAUUACCAAAAUAUGACACAGAGACAUGAAGUGAGUACAUCCUGUUGGAAAAAUGAUGCUGAUAGACUUGCUCAACAUUGACUUACCACAAACCUUCAAUUUGUAAAAAAUGCAAUAUCAGUGAAGUGCAAUAAAGUGAAGCUCAAUAAAAUGAGGUAUGCCUAACUCCAAUAUAAUGAUGACAUUAAUCACCUGAAGUUAAUGCAGACUCCACAACUUAAGGAUGCAGUCCCCCACAAGACUACCCUCAUUUUAGAUGACAGACACAAAGUCAGGGGUUCCCCAGGCCACCUGCUAUGAUGAACUGGCUAUGAAUUUGGAGAUUUCCAUCAUCUUCUCUGGUCUGAUAUUUGCUAGAAUGACUUGCAGAACUCAUGGAAGUGUUAUAAUUACAGUUAUAAUUAUAAAGGAUACCAUUGAGGACCUGCUAAGUGAAGAGACUAACAGGGUGAGGUCUGGCAAGAUUCCAAAUGUAGAGCUUCCAUUAACCCCUACCCUGUUGUCAGGAUGCAUAUCUCUAGGUACGGUGAUGUGUAUUCCCCAAGCAGGAAGCUCCCCUGAACCUCACUGUUUCGAGUUUUUAUUGAGGUUUCAUCAGGUAGGUGUGAUUGGUUAACUCACUGGCCACGUAAUUAAGUUCAAGCUCCAGUUCCCUCCCCUCUCCAGGGGUCAGGAGUUUGUAUUGUUAACAUUUGGUUCAAACCCUUAACCUUGUAAUCACACGGUUGGCCUUUCUGGCAUGACCAGCCCCCAUCCUAAGUUGUCUCCCUGGUGUAAACUAAGGUGUGGUCCAGGGUCCCACCAUAAGUAACAAAGACACACUUGUCCCUUGGGAAAUUCAAGGGGCAUAGAACACAUUUUUCCAGAAACCUGGGAAAAAGACCAGGCAUAUUCUUUAUUAUAUAACAGUGGGAAAGAAAUUAUUACCCUCAUUUUCAGAUGGCACUGAGGAAGGCAAAGUGACUUGUUCAGUGUCACAAGGCUCAAUAAUAAUGGAGCCAGAAUACCAAUCCUGGAGGUCUGACCCCAAGUCUCAGCCUCUAUCACCGUGAUAGAUUCCCUACAGGGAGGCCAAUUUCACAUCAUAAUUGUCAUUAUAUCUUUCAAACUUUUUUGAGUAGCUGGAUCUGAGCUAAAUGUUCCUUUGGGAACCAUGAUCACUGUUCCUGGUGGUUAGUAAGAGAUCCUCCUCCUCUGGGCUGUGGCCCAUUGAUGCUGUGAGUGUGGGGUUGGCAGCCCUCUGAUCAGGAGGUCCAUUGUAUGACAGGUACAAACAGUUCUGCAGACUUUGAAGGUGAGGCACAAGCCAGAGCUACCCUCUUUGUUGAACCAUGAGGAUAAGUGGAUCAAAGGAGUCACAAAUCCUCAAUUUUAGUGUCCUUUUUUUCUGUAAUUUCCACUUAUGAUAAGAGCAUUUGUUAUUGGCAAGCUAUCUAUCUAUACGUUUACCAUCUGUGUAUCCAAUCUAUUCAUCUAAUCUAUUUAUGUGUCUGUCUGUCUAUCUUUCAUCUAUUGACAAGCUUUCAUCAGCCUUAAAGGCUGAUUGUGGCUGUGGCCUGUUUCUUAUAGUGGGGAAGGAAGUAUAAGUAAGGUUGAAGGUCCCAGGCAUGGCUAAAAUACAAAAUGAUGAUUUUUCUAAUGUUGCUUCCUUCUCCCUUCUCCUCUCUUUCCUAAUACCCCUCCCCCUCCAGUCUUUCCUACUCCCUUCUUCCUUUCCCAGCUUUCAGAAUGCCUUUUUACUUCUCCUACAUGGAAACAUCAUCUUGGUUGAACAAUCAUUCCUAUGUGCCAGAUAUAAUUCUAUGAGCAUUAUGCCUAUUAACACACACCAUCCUCACUACUAUUACCAUCAUUGUAAGUGUGAGAAAGCUGAAGCAAAGAGACGUUUAAUGAACUUCCCAGAGUCUCCAGCUAGUUUGUAGCAGAUCUGAGAGCUUCAAACCCUGGUAACCAGAUGCCCGAGUCUGUACUCUUUACCACCUCACUAAACUGCCUUGAUUAAAUAAAAAGAAUUUCAGCUUUGAAAGUUGGGUUAAGUUGCUGGCUUUUUUCCUUAAGACAUAUGUGACCUUAGUCAUGUUGUAGAAGCUGCCCAAGCCUCAGUUCAUUAUCCUUUAAACAGGGUAAAGAAACCCUUCUUCAAUAUGAUGCCACAAAGACAGAAUGAGGAAAUGUAUUGAGUAAUAUACUCUCCACUCACUUCCGUUUUUCUCUUCUCCCUAGGACAGGGGCAUGGAAGGACCUAGAGAAGGCGUUGAUUCAUGCUCUUCAAGACUCAUGCUCAGCUUUGGGAGUGCAGUUGGGUUGCCUUUGCAGGAAUGACCUUUUGAGACGUCACCCAGCUGCAAGCUGGCUCUGGCUCCUUAUUGCCCCACCACAGCUAUUGCCCAACUCACUGUAGGGAAAGAGUGGCUUGGUUUUUUUUCUUCAAAACUAAGACUUUCAGGAAAGUGAGCUGCAGUAUCUGGAAAAUCCAGAUAUGUUAAGUCACAGUAUAAAAGUCUCUUUUACUCUUUCAGGACCAUUUUUCCUUCUCUUCUGUGACACCUUCAGCCUUUGCAGAGAGAUUGUGGGCAGGAGACCUGUGACAUGGGUGUUUGCCUCUAGGAAGCACAGCAGAGACCAAAGCAGGGCACAGUCAUUUCCACCCUGGCUUAGACUGUACUGCUCAGCACCGUGACUGGAGGUUACAAGGCCUUUGGCUGUAAGUUUACCUCUACAGGUUUUACUACUUAAGGAACUCCUGCCAAUGGACUUUUCUUAAGCCUCAAGGUCAAGUUCAAGUUCCAUGCUGGCUCUGUAGAGUUUUCUUGUCCUUUGCAACACAAAUAAUGGCCAGUCUCUUUAAUUGAUUCCCCUUAGUUCUGCUUGAUUUUCAGUUUUUCACCUUACUCUCUCUAAGUAUUAACAGUGACCUUCAUGGGAACUGUGGUUGUUACCUUAUUUCUUUCUUUGUUGAGUGCCUAGAUCCUUGCCUGGAACUUGGCUGAUGUCUAAUAAAUGACUGUUGAAUU